GGGAUGACAUCCUAUGGAGUCAUACUCUUUUAUUUGCUUCAAUUUUUAAAUACUCUUUUUCGCUUAGAUCCUUGUGACUGAGACGGAUGG
rfam:Anaerovibrio sp. JC8 JC8_012, whole genome shotgun sequence.